CUCUUUAUUUUGCAGCUGAGGCUCACUGCUCCCUGGGUGGGCAGUGAGUUGUGGGUUCCAGAGGCCAGCCUGCGGCCUGGCACCCCACCCCCACACCCCCGGGAUGCACCCAUGUCCAGAGGGCGGUGGAUGCUGCCCUCCUAGGCUGACCUCCCAGUAGACCAGGAAUCUGCCUGGAGAUAAUCAAGAUCGACACCGUGCCUUAUAACACACCUUAGUACCCUGUAAUCCGAACGCCCGGGGCUGACUUAACCCCCUCACUGCUGUGGCAGGAGCCCCAGGUCCUUACCCCGUCGGGACAGGAAGCGGAGCGCGGGGCAGGUGGCCCUGGGCUCCUGGGUCGCCUGGAUCUGCCUUCCCCCCACUGAGAAGGCCUCCUGUUCUGCUCCGGAGGACUGAGGUCUGCCCUGUGCACUGGCUGAGAGGACUCUGAGAGGUUAGUGGCUUGUCCAAGAUCAGCUAGGAAGCAAGACCCAGGAUUCCAAUCCAGGGCUGCUGUGAGGAUCAACCAAGAUAAUGUAUGCUAAGGCAUGCUGUGAACGCUACGUGCUGGGUACAGGAGAAUGGAGGCCCCAGAGUAGGUCUCAUGACCCUCUGUUGAUGAAGAUCUUGGCUGUGACCUCUGUGGGAAAUGAGCCAUGGACCAACCAACAUUUCAGUCUGCUUUCUUCAUUAUCCCAGGAGGAAGAUCUUGGCUGUCCUUUCUGUGGAUAAGAAGCAAAGUGACUCAUAAUUACCAUAAGGCAGCAGACUUACUCAUUCUCUAAGAAACAAUAUCUUGGCAGUUAGCUCUGUGUGUAAAGAACAUAGAGACAAACAAUGAACACAAAGCUGAUUUAAUCUUUCUGUAGUCCUGAAGACCUGGCCAUUAAUUCUGGGACUAAGAAGCGUAAAAACUGAUAAUGAGCCAUAGCAUGGCUGAUUCAAUCAUUUAUUAAGAAUGAUUAUAGUCAACCAGGAGCAUGAAGACUAAUACAAUCAUUGUCCAAUGAAGAAGAUCUUGCCUGUUACUUCUGUGGAAUGAAGAUGAUGGUUGAUUUAAUCAGUCUCUACUGAUGAAGAUCUUGGCUGUUAGCUUUGUGGAAUGGAUGCAUGAUGAAUCAGUUAUGGAGUGUGGAAACUUAUAAUGGAUGCUCCCGGCCAGUUUAAGCAUCUCUCUCCAUGGCCUUCAGCUCUCUGGUUGCCUAGCAGCGUAGAGACCAAUAAUGGAGGCACUUGAGCUGAUUCCCUGUGGUUGGCUCCAUUGUUAGGAACACAGACACGAAUAGUGGCCACACCAAGCUGAUUAAAGCAUCUUCCAUGAUUAUGAGCUCUAUAUGUAGGAGAUGGAGACCAGUAAUGGAUGCACUAGAGCCAAUUUCAGGAUUUUUCCAUGGUCACAAGAUGUCGGCUUGUCUCUAUGUGUUUGGUGCAUAGAAUGAAUGCACGCACCCAAGGUGGUUUAAGUAGUGUGCUUUGGCCAGUAAUCUCUACAUUUGUCUGUAGGAACAUGGAAACCAACAAUGGGUGCAUGACUCCAGUGCGUUGAAACGUCUUCCGUGGUCACGAGCUCUGCAGUUGCCUCUUUGUGUAAUGAGCCCAGAGACCAAUAAUGGAUACACUUGGACUUACGAUCAGGUGCUCAUGGAUGCCCCUGUGUGUAAGAUCAUGGAGACCAAUAAUGGAACCCUAAGCUGAUUGGCCACGGUCAAGAUUGUCAUGUUGUUUCCAUGUUGGAAGGAGACCAAGAUGGACAUCCUAAAGGUGGUUGAAGAAUUCUUUCUUGGUCACAGUCUCUAUGGCUGCAUCUGUGUUUCAGGUGUACAGAGACCAAUAAAGAAUACACCUGACCCGGGGUAAGCAUCCCCCAUGUUCAGGCGCUCCAGCCUUGCCUCUCUGUGUGGGAGCAUGAAGCCCAAUUAGAUUGGUGAAUUAAUGGAUGAGAGUAAAGGAAAAGAGGGCCAAUCCUGGACCAAUGAUGACAGCUGGUGGCGGAUGAGUCCUAUACGAUGAAUGCUACGUGUCUGGAAGUCUGAGGUCCAACAUAACGAUCCUGUGGAUCAAUGAGAGAAAUAUACUGGAUAACAUUCUUAUGAUUUUGGAUUUAUGGAUUUCUAUAUUAUUAACGUACAUGGAUCAAUGAUAGAACGAAUAAAAAAUCUAUAAAGAAAUUAAAAAAGGAUGAAGCCUUAUCAACUACCAAUAUAUUUGGCGAGACAAGAAAUCUUUUUGAGAAUCGACACACUCCAUUUGCUGUAAACAUUUCCCAUGGUCAAAAGGUCUGUGAUUUCCUGCAUGUUCUGAGCAUAGAGAUGAAUAAUGGAUAUGCUCCAGCAGCUGUAAGCACUGCCAUCAUUACGUGCUGUCUGGUUGCAUCUGUGAGUUUGGAGCGUAGAGACCAACAAUGGACACACUCAUGCCAAUUUAAGCAUUCUUCCAUGAUUACAAGCUCUAUGGCUGCAUCUAUGUGUUGGAGAACAGAGAUCAAUAAUGGACGCACUUGAGCUGAUGGAAGCAUCUUCCAUGGUCAUGAGUUCUGUGCCUGCUUUAUGCAUUAGGUGCAUAGAGACCAACAAUGGGCACACUCAAGCUCCUUGAAGCAUCUGCACAUGUUGGAGCUCUGUGAGGUUGCAUCUUUGUCUUAGGAGCAUAGAGAACAAUUUGCAGAUGACAAUAGAAAAAAGAGCCAGUCCUGGACCAGGGGUGCUGACUGAUGGCAGAGGAAUCAUGUGAACGGAUGUAUUCCAGGUGAUUUAAGAUCUUCCAUGGCCAGGAGCUCUCUGGUUUUCGGAGCAUGAAGACCAGUAAUGGACCUGUCAAGCAGAUUUAAGGAUUCUUCUUCGGUCACAAAAUCUCGGGUUGCAUUCACGUGUUAGGAACAGGAGACCAUGAUGAACUCACUGGAGAUGAUUCAGUGCCUUCCAUGGGCACAAGUUCAGUGGUUUCCUCUAUAAAAUAGGAGGAUGGAGAUUAAUAAGAGACACUGGACCUGAUUUAAAGAUUCUUCCUUGAUCCUGACCUCUGAGGUUGCAUCUGUUUUAGGAGCCUGGAGACCGGUAAUAGAAGCUCGAGGUGAUUUCCACCUGUAUUGUGAUCAGGGUCACCGUAUUUCCCUUCUAUAAGAAAGAGACCAGCGACAGACAGACACACAACACCUGAGUUAAGGAUUCUUCCCUGAUUGUGAGCUCCAGGGUCGCAUCUCUGUUUUAGGAGUUGGAAGACCAGUAUGCUCUAGCUGAUUUCAGCUUCUGCCCUGAUCAGGAUUAUUACGUUGCCUGCGUUUUAGGAGAGUAAAGCAAGAAUGGACACGCGUGAGCUGAUUUAACAUCUUCCGUGAUCCUGAGUUCUGUGGUUGCCUCUAUGAUAGGAGGAUGGGGAUUAAUGAUGGACAAAUUAGACCUGCUUUAAGGAUUCUCCCCUGCUCAAGAGCCCUAGGGUUGUAUUUUUGUAUUGGGGAGACUGGAGACAAAUAAUGGACACACUCCAGAUGAUUGUGACAUUCUUCCAAGGUUGUGAGCCCUCUGGUUGCAUCUAUGUUGGAGGAGCAUGGAGACCACACACACUACGCUGACUAAGCAUUGUUUUAUGGUGGUGAGCUCCAUGAUUGCCACUGUGUGUUAGAAGCCCAGAGACCAAUGACGGAUGCACCGGAGCUGAUUAAAGCCUCUCCAUGGUCGUGAGCUCCUGCUCUCUCUGUAUAAGAAGAGGACAGAGGUUAAUAAUGGACACACUCUGGCUGAUUGUGACGUUCUUUCAAUGUCACGAGCCCUCUGGUUGCAUCUAUGUUUUAGGAGCAUGGAGACCACAAUGGAUGCACUGGGGCUGAUUUCAUACGUUUAUGGGCGUGAGCUCUGUGGUUCCCUCCAUGUGAUUGGAGGAUGCAGAUUAAUAACAGACACACUGGACUUGCUUUAAGGAUUCUUCCCUGAUCAUGAUCUUUGGGGCUGCAGUUCUGUAGUAGGAGUCUGGAGACCAGUAAAUGAAUGAAGAAAAAGAGGGACAAUAUUGGAUCGAUGAUGGCCACUGAUGGUGUAUGAGUCGAAUAUGAUGAGUACGUGUCUGGAACACUGAGGUCCAACGUGAAGGAAAUCUAAUUCAUUACAUCUGUUUGAACUUUAAACUGUACAUCAGGAACGCCCCAAAAGAAAUCAUAUUAUUAUAAUUUGGAAUGGACAAUAAAUGGACCAUUUUGUCAGAGUGGGCACACUUGUGCUUAUUUCAGGAUUCAUCUACAGUUGUCAUCUUUAUGUUUGCAUCUACAUGUUGGGAGCACGGAGAACAAUAAUGGACACAGUUAAGAUGAUUUGAGCAUCUUCCAUCACCACAAUUUCUGUGAUGCAAAUCUCUAUUAGGAGGACAAAGAUCAUAAUGGUCACUCUUGACCUGAUUUAAGGAUUCAUCCAAGAUCACGAACUGUAUGGUUGCAUCUUUGUGUUGGAGCAUGGAGAACAAUAAUGGGCGCACUUGAGCUGAUGUAAGCCUCUUUCACGGGCUUGAGCUCCUGGUUCCUUCUAUUUGUUAGGGGCAUGGAGACCAAUCCUUAGAACGGACACUCUUGAGCGGAUGUAAGCAUCUCCCAGGGUCAUGAGCUCCAUGGUUACAUCUCUGGUUUAGGAGAAUGGAGACCAAUAAUGGGCACUGCCACACCAAUUCUGACAUUUCCCGUGGCCUCGAACUCAGGGGUUGCCUUAGGAGCAUGGAGACCAGUGUGUGAUGGCUGCACCAUAGCUAAUCAGAUUAUUCUCCAGUCUUGAGGAUCUUUGCCUUAUCCCUGUGGGAAGGAGUGUAUCAUGCUACGUAAGUAAUCAAGUUCUUGGUUUGGUGGUUAGUUUGUGGGUUUUCAUUGUAUCAGUUAAAAAAGAAAAGCUCCCCUCUGUUACCAUGCAACACUAUUACAGUACCACUGACCAUAUUCCCGGUGCUCUGCCUUUCAUUCGUGUGACUUGUUCAUUCCAUAACUGUGGGUCUGUAUCUCCCACUCCCUUCACCCAUUUUGUCCACCCAUCCCUGCCAUCAUUUCUUCAGGUGACCAUCAUUUUC